GAUUUUUUAAUUGAGGGAGUUCUGAGGUUUCAGGAUGUAGGGAAGAAAACAGUUGAUGGAUGUAUGUUCGCAUUAUUGAUUAUAUAUCUCCAUGCUAACAAGCAUGGAGAUUUAGGAAGAUAUAAUGGGAGAGAACCGUGGAUCAGAGACUGGUCGCUUGUUGAUCUGAAGAAGAUGGAUAAAGAGGAAAGCACAUCUCACUCGGGGCUUCUAAAUUUAAUUGGAAAGAUGUAUGGGUCACCGAAAAAGCACAAUCGUGUA